rnacentral:rRNA from 1 species
AGCGAACGCUGGCGGCAGGCCUAACACAUGCAAGUCGAACGGCAGCACAGUAAGAGCUUGCUCUUACGGGCGGCGAGUGGCGGACGGGUGAGGAAUACACCGGAAUCUACUUUUUCGUGGGGGAUAACGUAGGGAAACUUACGCUAAUACCGCAUACGACCUACGGGUGAAAGCAGGGGAUCUUCGGACCUUGUGCGAUUGAAUGAGCCGAUGUCGGAUUAGCUAGUUGGCGGGGUAAAGGCACACCACGGCGACGAUCCGUAGCGGGUCUGAGAGGAUGAUCAGCCACACUGGAACUGAGGCAGAGCCCAGACACCGACGGGAGGCAGCGGUGGGGAAUAUUAGACGAUGCACGAGAGCGUGAUCCUGCCAUACCGCGGGAGUGAAGAACGCCUUCUGGUUGUAGAGCCCUUUAGUUGGUAGGGUAGUGAAGCUGGUUUAUACGCCACUAUAAUGACGGUACCGAGAGAAUAAGCACCGGCUAACUUCGUG